rnacentral:tRNA from 1 species
GCGGGCAUGGUGUAAUGGUAGCGCUCUGGCCUUCCAAGCCAGCGGUGCGGGUUCGAUUCCCGCUGCCCGCU